CCUACGGGUGACAGCAGUGGGGAAUAUUGCGCAAUGGGCGAAAGCCUGACGCAGCGACGCCGCGUGAGGGAUGAAGGUCUUCGGAUCGUAAACCUCUUUCAGCAGGGAAGAACGGUCACUGUGCUAAUCAGCAGUGAAUUGACGGUACCUGCAAAGGAAGCACCGGGUAACUCCGUGCCAGCAGCCGCGGUAAUACGGAGGGUGCGAGCGGUAAUCGGAAUUACUGGGCGUAAAGCGCUCGUAGGCGGUAUGUCAAGUCAAGGGUGAAAUCCCCGCGCUCAACGUGGGAACUGCCUUUGAAACUGGCAGACUGGAGUGUGUGAGAGGAUAGUGGAAUUCCAGGUGUAGGAGUGAAAUCCGUAGAUAUCUGGAGGAACAUCAGUGGCGAAGGCGACUAUCUGGCACAUAACUGACGCUGAGGAGCGAAAGCGUGGGUAGCAAACAGGAUUAGAUACCCGGGUAGUC
rnacentral:rRNA from 1 species